UACGUAGGUGGCGAGCGUUAUCCGGAAUUACUGGGCGUAAAGCGCACGCAGGCGGCUUUUCAAGUCUGACGUGAAAGCUCCUGGCUUAACUGGGAGAGGUCGUUGGAAACUGAGAGGCUUGAGGCAAUGAGAGGGGUGUGGAAUUCCCGGUGUAGUGGUGGAAUGCGUAGAGAUCGGGAGGAACACCAGUGGCGAAAGCGGCACCCUGGCAUUGGCCUGACGCUCAUGUGCGAAAGCGUGGGGAGCAAACGGG
rnacentral:rRNA from 1 species